rnacentral:rRNA from 1 species
ACAUACGACCAUACCCAUUGGAAAACUCGGGAUCCCGUCCGCUCUCCCAUAGAUAAGCCAAUGAGGGCAGGGUUAUCUAGAAGAGCAGGAUCCCGGCUAACUUAUCAGACAAAACGGUGCCGGGUUAC